rnacentral:rRNA from 1 species
UACGGAGGGGGCUAGCGUUGUUCGGAAUUACUGGGCGUAAAGCGCGCGUAGGCGGACCUGCAAGUCGGGGGUGAAAGCCCGAGGCUCAACCUCGGAACUGCCUUCGAUACUGCGGGUCUCGAGUCCGGGAGAGGUGAGUGGAAUUCCCAGUGUAGCGGUGAAAUGCGUAGAUAUUGGGAGGAACACCAGUGGCGAAGGCGGCUCACUGGACCGGUACUGACGCUGAGGCGCGAAAGCGUGGGGAGCAAACGGGG